rnacentral:miRNA from 1 species
UCCCCUGUCCUGUCCCGAUAG